UACGUAGGGGGGCAAGCGUUGUCCGGAUUUAUUGGGCGUAAAGAGCGUGUAGGCGGCCUGACAGGUCUGCUGUGAAAACUCGAGGCUCAACCUCGAGAUGUCGGCGGAAACCGUCUGGCUAGAGUCCGGAAGAGGAGAGUGGAAUUCCUGGUGUAGCGGUGAAAUGCGCAGAUAUCAGGAAGAACACCUAUGGCGAAGGCAGCUCUCUGGGGACGGUACUGACGCUGAGGCGCGAAAGCGUGGGGAGCAAACGGGG
rnacentral:rRNA from 1 species